rnacentral:tRNA from 1 species
GGGCGCAUAGCUCAGCUGGUCAGAGCAACUGCCUUACAAGCAGUAGGUCGGGGGUUCAAGUCCCUCUGCGCCCA